rnacentral:sRNA from 1 species
GCUGGGUGUGGUGCCGAAUGCCUGUAAUCCCCGUGGCUCAGGAGGCUGAGGCUGGAGGAUCGCGAGUUCAAAGCCAGUCUCAGAAAAAAGAGAGGUGCUAAGCAACUCAGCAAGACCCUGUCUCUA